rnacentral:rRNA from 1 species
GAUGAACGCUGGCGGCGUGCCUAAUACAUGCAAGUCGAGCGAACAGACGAGGAGCUUGCUCCUUUGACGUUAGCGGCGGACGGGUGAGUAACACGUGGGUAACCUACCUAUAAGACUGGGAUAACUUCGGGAAACCGGAGCUAAUACCGGAUAAUAUUUCGAACCGCAUGGUUCGAUAGUGAAAGAUGGCUUUGCUAUCACUUAUAGAUGGACCUGCGCCGUAUUAGCUAGUUGGUAAGGUAACGGCUUACCAAGGCAACGAUACGUAGCCGACCUGAGAGGGUGAUCGGCCACACUGGAACUGAGACACGGUCCAGACUCCUACGGGAGGCAGCAGUGGGGAAUCUUCCGCAAUGGGCGAAAGCCUGACGGAGCAACGCCGCGUGAGUGAUGAAGGUCUUCGGAUCGUAAAACUCUGUUAUUAGGGAAGAAUAAACGUGUAAGUAACUGUGCACGUCUUGACGGUACCUAAUCAGAAAGCCACGGCUAACUACGUG